UAUCAUAACGCAGUCGAUAUAGCAACAGCGGCAACACUGCUGCACAAGAGACGAUCAGCCGAGACCUUUCGAGCGGCACUUGGUAUCUACAACGCGGAAGAGAUCGAAUCAAGCUUAUUCAUAAUGUCGAGCAACGGCAAGUACGUACGAGCCCCGAUCGCCUACGAUGAAGAAGAAAACGACGAAAACCUCUACCCACCCGCAUAGAAAAAAACCAUUUCGCUUAUUAUACAGAUUAUAAACUCAUUUUAAUACACACAGUUAAUAUUCACGUUGCUGUUCAUUCACAUUAAGACCAUAAAUGCUUUCUAGUAUUGGAGUAUUAACUACAUCAGUUGCACAACAAUACAUAUGGUUAAAGUUCAGAGAACAGUUGAUUAACGAUUCUGUAUAAUCCGUCUAUCAAUUUUUUUUGACAUUUUCCAUUCCGUGCACCGUAUGUUUUUGUUUGAAAAAAGUUCAGUUCAAAUAAUCCGUGUAGUGUGAAGCAGACCUUACACGAGGCAUAUAUUGACAAUACUUUUUUCGUCAAACUUUUCAUCAAACUUUUUUUCAAUAUUUUCACUGAUUAGCCGGCAUGGCCGUAGCUGAAGAAAAACUCAAUUUUUUCUUGAAAUAAUAUGAAUCAAAUAGCGGUAUAACGCACAAAACACGCACACACUCAACCGUCAUCGACUCCUGUGGGCAAACUGCGGGGGGAGAUGAGGGGAAAUAUUGAAAAGAAUAUCAAACUUUUCUGAUUUCCCUCAAUAUUUACUUCAAUAUUUUGGGUUCGCACUCACACGAUCAAUCUUUUUCUUCAAUAAUCAAGAGUUUGUCAAACUUUUUCCGUCGUGUGGGGUCUGCUUGAGAUUUUAACCUGUCGCAGCAGAGUUUCAACCAAGCCGGCAGUAGAAGUUCCUGCUCUAGUUCCUGUCUCGAUAGCACUUCCUCGCAGCUGCUGAAGACCACCAAACUGCUGGCCAAUUUCGACUGGUGCACGGAUGUGGUAAGCAAACAGCAGGAGGAUGGUGGCGGCGGGAGCAGUGGAAGCGGAAGCAGCACCACCGUGAUCGGGGAAGGCAAUGGGAAUUCCGGCAGUGCCGUUCGGGGUAUCGGUAGUGUGAAGAAUGUGUCGAACAAGGAAUUCGGGCCGGUCACAUUAAGUUACACACCCCCGCAGGGUAGCAACAAAUCCAUUGGGAAUUACAGCAGUGUCGGCAUCGCGACCAUCAACUCCAGCAAACACCAUCACCUGAUUGCAUCUUCUAGUCAAGCCUCUGGGGGCUCCUGGGAAGCAGUGCUAAUGGCGGCAGUUUGAACAUGAACGGUGGCAGCGGUCUCGGUGGCCACACCGUGGUGCUCUCGGAUCUGGACUCGAGCGACGAUAAUCAUCUGAGCUUCAGCAAAAAUGGAACCGAAAUAUUGUGAUUACGAUAAGGAAGAGGAGUUCAACUAUCUGGCCCACGCUGCAGCUGCCGUAGCAGCAUCGACCAGUGCCACCAGCGCCACCAGCUCUUGCACUCCCGGUGGGACAAAUGCGGCUGGUUCCGCUGCAGUUCCGUCGUCUGGUUUAAACGUACCGGCCAAUACUAGCAGCGGUAGCAGCAAUAGCAAUAGCAGCAGCAAAAAUCGCGUUCCGUUCGAUGCCAACAUAAGUGAUUUCCUGCGAGUUCCUCCUAUUAAAGACUUUGAAAUGGAUGGAAGCGGUCUGCUGAAAACCCGAAGGUCCAACAGUUUUACCACGACGGCGAGCAGUGCAUGCGGACUUUCGGUUGGCGAGCUGCAUUAGCAAAAGCAUUACAACGAAUAUUUAUCAGCGGAAAAUCUAACUAACUUGCAGCUUCUGCAGAAUAAACCGAGGAGUUUCUCCUUAAUCAUGGACAGUCCUCGUUCGUCGUUAACAUCCCGCGGGUCGGAAACAAGGCUCGACGAUUUUAAGCAGCAUCAGAUGAUAAAAAUGUACGGAUCUCCAAAUAUUGGCAUGUCGAGCAUAGCUCACUGGUCGAAGAGUUUGCGACUGCACGUAUACGUAUGGUUGUUCUCAAACCUGACGUACGAGCAGAUGAUGGAGAUGACGGAAGAAUAUUUGGCGAAUUUGGGCUUUACGAAGGGGGCUAGACAUAAGCUGAUGCUGUGCAUUCAUAAGCUUAAGGAACGGUACAGUGUGCUACUGCGAAUGAAAUGAUUAAUGUCCCUCGCUGGCACUCGGACGAUGAUCAGCUGCCCCUAGCAUGGGGAACAGAUGCUGUUGUGAGCCGCUUCUAACAUGGAGAACAGACGCUCGUUCAGAUUUGCACCCAAGAGAGGAGUAAACUCCCUUCCACGUUCCCUGUCAUCGUACAACCAUAGUUCCCACCGGGGUUGGUUACCCGAUGCUAGAGAAGGUUGCUCGUACCCCGGCCAGCACCACGGGGAGGUAGGGAUAGGCGUUGCUGGGAAAGAGGCUGAGAACCGUGAGAUGGAGUCUAUUUUAUUCCUUCAGGUACGUGAAGUACCAAAUGGUACAAUGGUUCUAAUUUAUAAUUAAAUUGUCAAUCGAGUUGUCAAUAUACAGGAUUGGAAAUAAUCUGUAUAAAGAUGUCAUAUAUUAUUAAAUUGAAAGAAAUUGAAAAUAAUUAUCUAAAGCAAUAAUUAAACGCAAGGGGUACCGUUGCACAAAUUCUCCUGAUAUGCUCCAAUUAUAACUUCAAAAUAAGACUUAUUGUUCGAAUCUCCUAAAGUGGAUGAUAUCUCAACAUUAUGUUGUAUAAUAUGUGGAAAAUUUUGUUCGAGAAAAUGACCGAUUUUUUAUAGUAACAUAACUUAACCGCCCUUUCCACAUAUUGUAAAUUGGUGAAAUACUAUUUAUCAUACUGUUGAAACAAUCUGGGGUAGUGUAGACGUAUUGUUGCGAUAGAUUAUUCAUACUGUUGUAGAAGUAUUGUUUGAAAUGGUUUUGAAUUAUAUAGGAGACAGUCAUGUAACAGUUCAGAAUUA